GACGAACGCUGGCGGCGUGCUUAACACAUGCAAGUCGAACGGAAAGGCCUCUUUCGGGGGGUACUCGAGUGGCGUACGGGUGAGUAACACGUGAGUAACCUGCCCUUGACUUUGGGAUAACUUCAGGAAACUGGGGCUAAUACCGGAUAGGAGCUCCUGCUGCAUGGUGGGGGUUGGAAAGUUUCGGCGGUUGGGGAUGGACUCGCGGCUUAUCAGCUUGUUGGUGGGGUAGUGGCUUACCAAGGCUUUGACGGGUAGCCGGCCUGAGAGGGUGACCGGCCACAUUGGGACUGAGAGACGGCCCAGACUCCUACGGGAGGCAGCAGUGGGGAAUAUUGCACAAUGGGUGGAAGCCUGAUGCAGCAACGCCGGGUGCGGGAUGACGGCCUUCGGGUUGUAAACCGCUUUCGCUCAUGACGAAGCUUUGUGUGACGGUAGUGGGUAAAGAAGCACCGGCUAACUACGUG
rnacentral:rRNA from 1 species